CNGGUGUAGCGGUGGAAUGCGCAGAUAUCAGGAGGAACACCGAUGGCGAAGGCAGGUCUCUGGGCAGUAACUGACGCUGAGGAGCGAAAGCAUGGGGAGCGAACAGGAUUAGAUACCCUGGUAGUCCAUGCUGUAAACGGUGGGCGUUAGGUGUGGGGACCGGUUUGGUUUCUGUGCCGUAGCUAACGCAUUAAGCGCCCCGCCUGGGGAGUACGGCCGCAAGGCUAAAACUCAAAGGAAUUGACGGGGGCCCGCACAAGCGGCGGAGCAUGUGGAUUAAUUCGAUGCAACGCGAAGAACCUUACCUGGGUUUGACAUGCACCAGACGGUUGUAGAGAUACGUACCUCCCUUUGUGGUUGGUGUGCAGGUGGUGCAUGGUUGUCGUCAGCUCGUGUCGUGAGAUGUUGGGUUAAGUCCCGCAACGAGCGCAACCCUUGUCUUAUGUUGCCAGCACUUUGGGUGGGGACUCAUGAGAGACUGCCGGGGUUAACUCGGAGGAAGGUGGGGAUGACGUCAAAUCAUCAUGCCCUUUAUGCCCAGGGCUUCACACAUGCUACAAUGGUUAGUACAACGCGCGGCAAACCUGUGAGGGUGAGCGAAUCGCUGAAAGCUAAUCUCAGUUCGGAUUGGGGUCUGCAACUCGACCCCAUGAAGUCGGAGUCGCUAGUAAUCGCAGAUCAGCAAUGCUGCGGUGAAUACGUUCCCGGGCCUUGUACACACCGCCCGUCACGUCAUGAAAGUUGGUAACACCCGAAGCCCAUGGCCUNACCACCGUUUUUUGGUGGGGGGAGUGGUCG
rnacentral:rRNA from 1 species